CGACCGUAUGAGUGUAACACACGAUAGGUCGAAGAGUGGUGCAUGGCCGUUAACGACGAGUGGAGUGAUCUUUGGGUUAAGUCCGUAAAUUAGUGAGACCUCAGCCGUAAGGGACAGGUGCGCAAAGCACAGGAAGGAUGGGUCAAGGACAGGUCAGUGAUGCCCUUAGAUGGUCCGGGCUGCACGCGCACUAUAGUGGUCGCCGGAAUUACCUGAUAAUUUUAAAGGCGAUCGAGAGGAAAUGAGCUUUGUAAGAGGCUCAGGAACGAGGAAUUGCUAGUAAUCGCGGACUCAUUAAGACGCGAUGAAUACGUCCCUGUUCUUUGUACACACCGCCCGUCGUUAUCGAAGAUGAAGAUAGGCGCGAACGAUCUACCAGAAAGUGAGCGCAGGUCUUUAGAUCUGAUACAAGUCGUAACAAGGUAGCUGUAGGAGAACCUGUAGCUGG
rnacentral:rRNA from 1 species